AGAGUUUGAUCCUGGCUCAGGACGAACGCUGGCGGCGUGCCUAAUACAUGCAAGUAGAACGCUGAAGGAGGAGCUUGCUUCUCUGGAUGAGUUGCGAACGGGUGAGUAACGCGUAGGUAACCUGCCUGGUAGCGGGGGAUAACUAUUGGAAACGAUAGCUAAUACCGCAUAAGAGUGGAUGUUGCAUGACAUUUGCUUAAAAGGUGCACUUGCAUCACUACCAGAUGGACCUGCGUUGUAUUAGCUAGUUGGUGGGGUAAGGGCUCACCAAGGCGACGAUACAUAGCCGACCUGAGAGGGUGAUCGGCCACACUGGGACUGAGACACGGCCCAGACUCCUACGGGAGGCAGCAGUAGGGAAUCUUCGGCAAUGGACGGAAGUCUGACCGAGCAACGCCGCGUGAGUGAAGAAGGUUUUCGGAUCGUAAAGCUCUGUUGUAAGAGAAGAACGAGUGUGAGAGUGGAAAGUUCACACUGUGACGGUAUCUUACCAGAAGGGGCGGCUAACUACGUGCCAGCAGCCGCGGUAAUACGUAGGUCCCGAGCGUUGUCCGGAUUUAUUGGGCGUAAAGCGAGCGCAGGCGGUUAGAUAAGUCUGAAGUUAAAGGCUGUGGCUUAACCAUAGUAGGCUUUGGAAACUGUUUAACUUGAGUGCAAGAGGGGAGAGUGGAAUUCCAUGUGUAGCGGUGAAAUGCGUAGAUAUAUGGAGGAACACCGGUGGCGAAAGCGGCUCUCUGGCUUGUAACUGACGCUGAGGCUCGAAAGCGUGGGGAGCAAACAGGAUUAGAUAGCCUGGCAGUCCACGCUGUAAACGAUGAGUGCUAGGUGUUAGACCCUUUCCGGGGUUUAGUGCCGUAGCUAACGCAUUAAGCACUCCGCCUGGGGAGUACGACCGCAAGGUUGAAACUCAAAGGAAUUGACGGGGGCCGCACAAGCGGUGGAGCAUGUGGUUUAAUUCGAAGCAACGCGAAGAACCUUACCAGGUCUUGACAUCCCUCUGACCGCCCUAGAGAUAGAGUUUUCCUUCGGGACAGAGGUGACAGGUGGUGCAUGGUUGUCGUCAGCUCGUGUCGUGAGAUGUUGGGUUAAGUCCCGCAACGAGCGCCACCCCUAUUGUUAGUUGCCAUCAUUUAGUUGGGCACUCUAGCGAGACUGCCGGUAAUAAACCGGAGGAAGGUGGGGAUGACGUCAAAUCAUCAUGCCCCUUAUGACCUGGGCUACACACGUGCUACAAUGGCUGGUACAACGAGUCGCAAGCCGGUGACGGCAAGCUAAUCUCUUAAAGCCAGUCUCAGUUCGGAUUGUAGGCUGCAACUCGCCUACAUGAAGUCGGAAUCGCUAGUAAUCGCGGAUCAGCACGCCGCGGUGAAUACGUUCCCGGGCCUUGUACACACCGCCCGUCACACCACGAGAGUUUGUAACACCCGAAGUCGGUGAGGUAACCGUAAGGAGCCAGCCGCCUAAGGUGGGAUAGAUGAUUGGGGUGAAGUCGUAACAAGGUAGCCGUAUCGGAAGGUGCGGCUGGAUCCCCC
rnacentral:rRNA from 1 species